AGGGAAUCUUCCGCAAUGGACGAAAGUCUGACGGAGCAACGCCGCGUGAGUGAUGAAGGUUUUCGGAUCGUAAAGCUCUGUUGCCAGGGAAGAACGUCCGUUAGAGUAACUGCUCUAAGAGUGACGGUACCUGAGAAGAGAGCCCCGGCUAACUACGUGCCAGCAGCCGCGGUAAUACGUAGGGGGCGAGCGUUGUCCGGAAUUAUUGGGCGUAAAGCGCGCGCAGGCGGCUGUUAAGUCUGGGGUUUAAUCCUGGGGCUCAACCCCGGGUCGCACUGGAAACUGGACGGCUUGAGUGCAGAAGAGGAGAGUGGAAUUCCACGUGUAGCGGUGAAAUGCGUAGAGAUGUGGAGGAACACCAGUGGCGAAGGCGACUCUCUGGGCUGUAACUGACGCUGAGGCGCGAAAGCGUGGGGAGCAAAC
rnacentral:rRNA from 1 species